UACGUGUCAGCAAUGACGUAGACCGCGAACGGCUCUGUAAAACAGUCAUGAUUUAUGAGGGCGCAUGACAGUUGGAUAACUGUGGAAAACCUAGAGCUAAUACAUGUAAAAAUGUCCUGCCUUUAUCGAAGGGACGCAUUCAUCAAAUGAAAGCCAUCCUCGCUUCGGCGAGAAACGAGAUGAAUCUGGGUGAACUAUCGAUUGUACGGCUCUUUGAGCUGACGACUAUAAUUGUAAGCGUCUGACCUAUCAACUUUUGAUGGUGGUAUAUCUUACUGCCAUGGUUGUAACGGGUAACGGGGAAUCAGGGUUCGAUUCCGGAGAGAGAGCCUGAGAAACGGCUGUCACAUCUACGGAAGGCAGCAGGCGCGCAAAUUACCCAAUCCCCGAUCGGGGAGGUAGUGACGAGAAAUGACAGUGCCGUAAUCAGAUGAUUCGGCUACUGAAUUGAGAACGAUGAAAGAAUGUUAUCGAAUAUCUAUUGGAGGGCAAGUCUGGUGCCAGCAGCCGCGGUAAUUCCAGCUCGAAGAGCGUCUGUUAAUGUUGCUGCGCUUGAAACGCUCGUCGUUGAAUCUCUGGCAAUUGCCUACGGACACUUCUAUUGUGGUACCGUAGGAAAGUGCCUUUUUGUAUCUAUUCGUCGUAGAUUC
rnacentral:rRNA from 1 species